ensembl:lncRNA
UUCAAAUACAGAGUUCUGGACUGGCCUGCUUUUGCACUAUGCCUGCUGAGGACAGCGCUGGCACAAAUCCGAGCAAACUAACCCGAGUACAGAAAACCAAUCCAUUAAUUUUUGGAGGCAACGUGAUGACUGAUUUUAAGGAGUAUUUAAUCCUUUCUUGGUCAGUUUAGGGAGCCCUAUGAAAGCCAUAACUGUUGAAAAUAAUUAGAAAAGUUGUGCAGAAGGUUUAGCAGCUAAUUGGCUCCCGCAGCGGAGAACGGAGCUGUUCAUUUGCGGUGUUGGGGCAGCUCUGGGCUUGUAACGCUGAGCGGCAGCCGCUACAAUGGGCCCCGGGAAAUAAUGUGGGGCUCGGAGAUGGUAUCGCGGGCACUUGAAAGAGCUGAGCCGAGGGAGACAGGAAUGAAGAAGAAAAAGGAAAAAAAGAUCUGAGAGUGAAUGAAGAAGCAAUAGGAAAUCUGAAUUCUCGCAACGAGAAUAUUUAAAAGAAUAAGGGGAGGGAGGAGAAAUCUUCCCAAAAUAGGUGAUGAAUAAACAGAUGCAGGCAAAUGUGCACGGAGGGGAGAGGAACGAAGGACUCUGCUGGGAGCUGCGAUGCCCGGCCCCGCACUGUGUGGGGGACAGCGGAGAAAACUCUGAUAUCCUCUGCUCUACUCUCACAUCAGCAAUUCCAAAUUAAUCACCGCCGCGAGAGAAGGGCCGCUUUGUUUGGAGAGGAAAAGGUGAUAUCUCCACUUGGAAGGGCCCUUCCCCCCGGCCUUCCCUCCAUUGUCAUUAAAAUAGGAGAUCGCAAAAACCGAAAAAAAAGAAAGAGAAAAAAGCGUGCUUUGCAACGAGGCCAUCGGAAAUACAGUGAAAUAGGUGUGAUUGGAACUCCUGGAGCCUCGGGACCACUCUCUGUACGUUUGUGCCUAAGCAAAUUAAAGGAAUGGCAUCUGCUGCAGCUGACAAAGGGAAUGAUUUAUUAUUUACCACUUCCAAUCGGUUGUAUACUGCAGGUUUUAGUUCCUCUAUUAACGCUUUGUCGCUGCUCCGCUCGCACCGACUCCGGAGGAGCCACCACCCGCCCGGAGCGGGUCUGCGUCCGCUCUCGGAACCGCCGGAGAAGCUGCAGGAAGAGCGGGGAAGGGCGCACCGUCGGCUGCGAUCACUGGAGGCAAACAUCGAAUUAAUUGGAUCUUGGUGGCUGAGGCUGGUAACAGUGUAUUGAACGGAGUUAUCUGCCACAAUGCCCAGGUGUCUGCCAGAAUGUCAGGACAUUCUAGACCAGGUAAAUCCAGAGAACGCCUACCAGAAAAUUAAAAUGAGUGCAACGUUAUACGCGCCAGUUCCAAGUUAUAUUACUGCUAUGUGGGGAGCUAAUACUGACCGGUGCUAACCUACGUGGAAUCUAUACAUUCCAGAGAGAAACUGGAGUUUGCCUUCAGAAGAAGUGCCAUGGAACGGCUAGAUCUGUGCCUUCACAGCGACAGGGCCUGGCACUAUUUUGCAACUUCAUACCUUACUCCUUUAAGUUAAGUGAUUAAUUCUGUGGAAUUAGGUGGUUGUUUAGUGACUCGUAUUACUUACAUUCAUUGUUGCUGAAGACCUCCAAACCAACUGCAUAUUUGUUUCUCUCUUGGAAAACUCAUUUUUGGAUGUGUCCUCUGACAACACCAUGUUAAGUGAAACGGGGCAUGACCACCCCAGCUGAAAAUCUGAACGUUUCAGAAGUUUUUCAAAAAUUUCUCCCUAAUGUGGGUCCACUUAAUAUUCGAAUUUUCAAACAUAGCGUGACAUCAGAUGGCAAGCCAAAACACAUUAAUUCCUGGACUAUAGGCAUAAUCGGGACCCAAUGCAAUGUCCAGUGAUACAGAUGGGAAAUCUACCUUUGGUAGCGGUGGAAGUGGCAUCUGGCCCUUCACGGCCCAUAGGAUAGGACUAUGCAGGCAGCUUUAAUUUCACGCCGAUCUCCAGUAUUUGUAACAUUUGGAAUUAAAAUGUAGAAUUAAACUGAAUUAGUUUACCAGCGCAGUUUUGUGCCGGGGCUUAGCAGCAAUCUAGUGGGCAUUAGGAACGAAUGUCGUUCAUUUCGUGUUCCUAAGCGCAGCAAAAUGACCUUUGGUACACUCCUCUGAGAGCAGUGUUAGAAAGAAAAGAGGGAGAAGGAAAGACAGAAGGAGAGGGAAAAAAAAAGAUUCCUCACUCUCAGGAUUGGGUAGCGGAUCUAUAACUAAUGAGCCAUGAGGUCAUAUAUCAGUAAUUAACACGCAUCUGACGUCCUGCGCAUUCCCAGCGCGGCUUUGUUCAGGCAGUAUGACUCGAAGCACGGACCGGUGCGGACGGGGCCGGCUCGUGGGGCACGAGGGUCUCCCCCUGCUCUGCGGGCAAAAAGGGCCGCGGAAGCAGCGGGGAGGGGAGAGGGGAACGGACGACAAAGGCGAGAGGUGCGCUGCCAGUCAGUGGGGCAGGGCUCGUCAGAGGGCUGGGAAACAGCCCCGUCCCGCCGCAGGAAUAGUGCCGUCCUGCAACAACCUACCGCGACGCCACUUCCUCCGCAACUAAAACACGCGCAAAAUGGGCACGGGGGAUAGCAGAGACCUAUCAGUUUCCUGAUGUAGUUGUGCUAAUAAAUAAACCUUCUCGAUGUUUAAAACACUCUAUCUGUCACAUUCACAAGAUAGGUACUGUAAAUUCCUGUUGCAAAUAUACAAACAGAGAUCCAAGAGGUUGCCUCUGUUUUUGUAUCUCUCUCUCACAAGAAAUGCACUAUCAAAACAUUAAUUAUAUUUGAAAGGGAGCAGAUUAUUUGUUUGAGAAAGAAUUACAUUCUUGAAUUUAUAUUCCACACAGAUCUCUCCUCCUGUCUGCCGGGAGGGCUGAACUGUAAAUCUGUCUCGAGUGAUGCACCCUACACCGUGGGUAGGUGCGUCACUUCGGAGCCGGAGAGAGAUGGGAGCUCAUCCGAGGAGCUUUCAGACACCUCCGUGGGAUGGGUCGUUAGGGAGUGUCGGAAUCCACACGAAAUUGCAGAUCUAACAUGUGAGGAACAUAAAGCCCCGCUCUCUGACAGUGGGAGCGCAAACACGCAGACACGCGGGACUGAGCCUGGUGCUUGCUGAGCACUGUGACUCACGGCUUUGGGCCUCGGUGCUGGUUUGCAAAAUGCCUCACACACGUCCUGCUGCAGUCGAUAGCCGGAAAGCUACCGACCGUGUGAGUCAUGAGCCGUCAGCAAAAGACUUCGCCCGCUCUUCCAGCGCCUAAUAAAAGAAUUAAACAGAUGCCCUUAUCUUCUUCUGAAGAAAAACGAAAGAAAGAAAGAAAAUGUGGCAAUGCACUGUGACUUUCUCAGGAGCGCUGAAAUCCUGCCACUGGGAUCUGGUUCUUCCCCUCUCCACCGCCGUGCGGCAUUCCCUAUAGCGUACGCCUACCGCCAGGCGCCCUUAAGCAUCUCAACAGAAUUGCUCUUUGGCAUCGAAACUGCUGGCUGCGGCUGAUGCCACGAGUCCGCGCAGAAAAGUGGCCAGGGCUUUUCUCACGGCUGGAGAAGCGUGUCCAUAAAUCGAUAGAUUCUCUCGGUGUGGAACCCGGGGGAGGGGGUCCCGAACAGGCGACCCCUUUUCUCUGUUCUUGUGUUGCCCGAGUCUCUGAGCGGCUUUCCCGAGCGCUGGGACGGCCGAGACACGGGGCCGGGGGGUCGGGGCCGUGCCUGGACUGCGCUCUGCUUAUGGUCGGAGAUUUGUGGGAGUAGAGAGAACCCUGACAGCCAGAGUGGGACCUGGCCGGGAGCGGGCUCCGUGAUGGAGGAUGGCUGCAUGCUCGUGAUGCGAAGGGCGGAACAGGACAGCGCGCUGGCACCGAGAGCUUUUUUUUUUUUUUUUUUUUUUUUUUUUUUUUUUGUUCAUUAGAACCAAAAGGAAAAAUGGAG